GCACACACCACUUCACUCUCCACUCCGAGGCUCAGGGAGCAAGUGCCUGGUAUGGGGGACGCCGAAAGAAGCCUGUUUGUGUGCUGCGGCCGUGCUGUGACUCUGGAUCUUGUCUUUCAGCCGGCGCCUCGGUUCCUGCCCAGCUGGAUUUGGGGGGCAGCAUUGCCUGGCGCAGGGAGAUCAAAUGAGACUGCAAAGAACAUAAAAUGAAUAGACAAUCCAACCAACCAAAGACCGGGGGCAGCAGCAGGCCAGCAAGACGGCAUCUUCUCCUUCCCAGCCUAGAAGCCCUGUGAAAUCGAGGAUCUUCCCCCUAAAACACAUACACACAAGAUAUGUGCAAUCAAGCUGCCACCGCUUGGUAAAAAGCUCAUGGUGCCUAACCAAAAAGGAUCAGGAACAGAUCCUUGAAUCAGCUGUCACUUCUAUAGAAUGGGAUUUUUUUUCCUUCCUCCUUAACCUGCGCUGGAAAUUGCCGUUGGCUUUAUACAUCUCUAUAGAGAGAGGCUAAAGAGUCUUGCGUGAGAAAGAAGCAAUUUACAAUGCAAAUAGAGGCCUGUGAAGGGACGGAUGCUGCUGCUCACUCGUAACAGCUUGCUGCACCUUAAUAGCUGGUUUUAUUUUCUGAUAUUAAUAGAUGAAUUGUUGGCUAACGCUGCCGGAGAUUACUUGCUGAAAGGAAAAAAAAAAGUUCGGAAUAAACUCUGAAGGCAACAGAUCUCGUUUGGAUGUUUUAGCCGCGCACACACACAAACAGAAACCAGGUCAUAUUUACAUAAAAGGAGGAAUCUUAAGCGCGGCAAGUAUCCUGGACGACCACUCUUCGGUACUGCCAGAAAGGAUCAGGACCUGGAGUCUGGCAAGAGGAAGACAGAGGCCUGUGUGGGAAGCGAGUUGUUAUCUUUGGUUAUCUAGCUGUAUGAGUGUAUUGGUCUUCAUAAAGCUAGAUAACCGAAAGUAAAAACUCCUUCAAGAUCGCCGGGGAGCGUGUGAGAAUGAAAGACUACAGCCGAGAGACAGUAAAAACCAGAAAGGUCAGGAAUACUUAUUGAAUCUAACUUUGUUUUUGUUUUGUUUUUUUCCUUAUGAUUAAAGGUGGGAUGAGAGAAAAUUAAAUGACACACAACAUGCUAAAAUAUCAAGGUGCCAGAUAUGUCUUGAGAGGGGUUGUUGCAGCUGCAAAGGAGAAGUGUAUAGUGAUAAUGAGUAAAGAUGCAUGUGCAGUUUGUUCUAUUUUAAGGCAAAAGUUAUAUCAGGGAUUUUUUUCUUAGAAAGGUGUUGCAGAGAUGUCUGGUACCUAGUUUAAAAAUGAUUCCAUAAUAUGUAGACUUGGGCAGUUCCUUUGUGAGGCACCUCCCUCUCAAAAUUUGAAGAUUGUGCUUGGUAAUUACUUUACAUGUAUUUGGGCUGUAUGUCAAUUUGUACGAAAUUAGACUUUCAGAAAAGUUUAUACUGGAAGGUUAAUAAUUUGUAUCUACUGAGGACUUAGAGCUAGCAGGCAAAAUGAAAAAAAAAAAAAAAGCAAGGGCUGAUUUUUAUUCUUCUAUUCAAAAUACAAGGACAGAUGCUUCUCUGUUCCAAGAGGGUUUCCUUGAGGAAGCUACUGAAGCAGAAAGACAUGAUGGAGACGAGAUCGCCUCCCCUCUUGUCAAAGUGUUAAAAAAUGUUCUGUCUUACUCUGCGCCUAGCAUUGGAAAUGAAAGUGACAUUUACGCCACAACCCACGUGUGCGCCUCCUCUCUUUUUGUUUAAGGAUGAUCAGGUCUAUCCAGGAAACAGCUCUGGCAUCCCAAACUGAAAUAAUUAGGACGUAUAUAGACCUGACAAAAAUGGAAAGGGGGUGGGGAAUCUGAGGGUCUGUCUUGCCUAAUUGAUUCCGCUAAACGGAAUGCAGGAGAUGUGAACGGCAGGACGCUCCGAUUCCCACGCUCGGGGGCAAGUGAUAAAGCGGGGCCGGGCAGCCUAUGACAGACAGCCCUGUUGGGGGGUGGGGGUAUGAAAAAAACAUCAAGUGCACACACCAUACUCAUCUCCAUCGCUUAAGAAAGUAAAGGCAUUUCCCACCCACAGCCAUCUGCAGCUUCCCAAAUGGCAGCACCAACUGGUCUGUAGCUGCUACAUAGUCUGCUUCUGUUAAUUUUUUAACCACUGUUUAAUCUGGCCAUAAUUAAGUUUGGCUUUCUUCGUUGUUUGAGAUUUUCAGAAUUCAAGGCAAGCUAGUAGAAAGCAAUUCCAAGAAAGUCCCAUGACUGCCUGCCCCUAAUGUCAAAAUCUCAGUCCAUGAGAUUAUGGCCUUGUGACCACAUUUUUGCUUUUGUUUUGGGUGAGCAAAUGUGUAUAGAGAUAAAAUACAUAUCUCUAUAUAACAGUCGUUAUUAUAAUUUCAUGAGGCUUUUUACCUCUUAACAUGAUACAUCUAGGAACUUGGUCUAAUUGUGCUAGUAGAUAUACACUAGAAGUAAAACUAUAAAGUCAUUAGCCUGUAGAAAGUUGAUUAUGAUAACAAUAUGAUAAAAAGUUUGUUUUGGAAUAGUCUCAGCUAGAUGGGUCUAAAUAGCCAUUUUAAUGUAAUCUAAAAAUAACACUAUGCCUAGCAGAAACUUUGGCGCUUUGGAGGUCCCCAUUGUUGCCUUUUCAUAAAAGUCCUUAAGUUUUCCAUAUGUCACCAAGCAAACAUUUGUAUAGGCAUUUACACAGAAAUAUAACCAUUGCAAUUAGAAAAUAUCCAAAAUAGCCUGUUAUCUUCCACGUGGCCUAGAUUAUUGACAAUCCCAAAUAUACAAUUUUUCUUUAAAAGUAGUACAACUUCCUUUUGUAGCUUCAAUUCCUUAUAUGACUUCAGACUGGAGAAGCCUGUUAAACCACUGUUAGUUUCAGUUAGAAAGUCUGAGAGACUUUAUACAUAAAUUCUCAAUUUGGCUGCUGUACACGUGCCAGAGUUUUACUACUGUAGUGACCGUUGAGAAGACCCUUGUUUAUUUACAUUUGAAGCACUGUUUGUGCAAACAACCUUUCAUUGUUAAGUGCCUGUAUUCCUUUCAUUUACUUCAUGUCCAGGGGUGCUAUUUACCUAGAACCAUUGUCUACUACAAUUAACAUUUACAUUACAAAGUGUGUGGUUUUCUUUUUCAAGGAGGUUCAAUUAAGGCAAUAAGAUGUUUGCUGGAGAAACCUAUUGUUUACUGAAAGCACUCAAUGGAGUCAAAUUACUGAAGCUUUUGCCUACAUCUUGGUCUUUUAUGUAAAUAUGUUAAAUAUAACAUCUAAGGAAAAUAAACAAUAUUAUAAUUAUGUGUUUGCCAUUGUCAUAUCAAACUUGCUUUGUAUCAUACUAAUGUUACAUAACUUAUCGAUCAAUAAAAAUACAUUUCAAUGUUA
rnacentral:lncRNA from 1 species